rnacentral:lncRNA from 1 species
CUUUCUCUGUUGCUGAGGCUGAAGUGCAGUGGCGUGAUCUCAGCUCACUGCAACCUCUGCCUCCCGGGUUCAAGCAAUUCUCCUGCCUCAGCCUCCAGAGUAGAUGGGAUUACAGGUGCACGCCACCAUGCCCAGCUAAUUUUUUGUAUUUUUAGUAGAGACGGGGUUUCACCAUGCUGGCCAGGGAGCUCUUUUUACAGACAUCAUACGUAGAGCACACACAGACAAGCAGAAGAAAAGUCAGUCGCUGGAUGGGGCCCUUUAAGAGAUAGGGCCACAUGCAGAUAUCAAACCAGAAAGAACCAUUCCCUAAGGCAGGGUUGCUAAACAAAACCAAAAAAACUUUAAAGGUUAAUUUGUUGAUGGGGUAGAGUAGGGGAAAGAAAAGAAACAGUUUAAAAAUAUCUGGGGAAGAACCUCUUAUUCUUAGGCAAGUGGUUCCUCCGCUGGGGAGAAAAGUUUAAUUACUGUCCCGUGGAGUUGAAACCGUUUGGCUGGGGAAGGGGAAAGCUGCUGCAGCAUGGCUGGGAACCAGCCUGCUGGCUGUGUGGGACCCUUGGGCACCGCGUCCCAGCCCCAGCAUGGAGGUGGGAGGGGCUGAGAGCUGUUGCUCCUUGGUUCUUCCUGAGAAAGGAAGGAAAAGGCCAUGAAAAGGCCCCCAACCCCCAGGAGUGGAGAGGGAUGGGGGUUCAAACCCCAGAAGCGACAAGGAGUGGGGGUGCAGUUUCUUGUAAGUUCAGACGUCUGAGGUUGAAAAGGCUUAGAAAUCACAGUGAGAGGUUUUGAGUUCCCAUUUCACUCACCACUUCUGGAGCCCCUCAUUUGCGGCAAAAACGUUGCAUAACUUUUCCUUAGUUCAGGUAAAAAUGUGGGGGCUCUUGUCUGUCCAACAGCCAUGAAAAUUUAGGCUCACAGACAGUUUAAAGGGUGAGUAAAGCAGGGUUUUAUUGGGUGAAAAGGGCCGGGGGGCGGGUGGGGAAAGGACACGGAUCCUCCACACGGCCAGAGUACCCUGCUAGAGCACUUCCCACCUGGCUAUUUGAAUCUCAGGUUCCGCACAGGAAGAGGAGGGGCUGGGCUCCUCCGCAUUGCAAAGGGUGCAAACUUUCUGAGGUUCCAGUCCAGUGGGCAGGCUGGUUAGAGUUCCUCUAGGGGCCCCCUCCCACCUGGCUGUCUCACUUACAACUUCCCUGUUCUGUAUGAUGUUGUCUAUGAGUUUGUCAUACAUGACUUGUAUUAUUUUGAGGCUCAGAAGUACAUAUUCAGGUUUGUUGUACAGCUCCCAGACUUCAUCCUGCUUCAGCUCCUGUCAUCCUGUGCUGUGGAAUUCCUAAACCUCUUAGCUUGAGCCCUGCAACGAUCUGAUUUUCACUCCGUUCUAGGAAGGUUCCAUUCUUCAGUGUGGAGCACAUAUAAAUUGGAAAAGCAUUGGAAAAUUUGUCCAAAGUCACUCAACAGAUUCAUGAUGGAUCCUGGAUUCACAGCCAGCUUUACUUGGCAAUAAAAUUCAAGUCCUGUUCACAUCACAACACAUUUUUACCGAAAGAAAAAUAUGAUGUGUAGAUGUUUGGAGGCAUCCUAUCUUAAUGAGGCUUUUGUUAGAAAGAGUUUUCUUAAAAUUACAGGGUUGGGGAAAUAAAAAAUGUUUGUUGCUCAGAUUAACAAAAAAAUGGUAUAUAGAAAAUAAAGCUAAGAAAGGAAAGUGCAGACAACCAAGAGACUAGAAUUUUCAAUAAAUGGCAAAAUUGUGGUGUUCUGUGGUUACCUCUUGAAGAUUUGGCCUGAAUCAUGCAACAAUUGCCCCUUACCCUCAGUCCUCAAAUUACAAUAGUGAAAGAGGUUUCUAUAGGUAUUAUAUUUGAAUCUGCUAUAUUUUGUUUAUUACUUGCAAGGACAUAUAGGAGAGCAAAAGUUUUCCCUCUAAUUUCUUAGGUUUAGUAACUGGAACUUGUGAAUUAAACUGGCAAAAUACAGAUUAACAGGAGAAGAGUCAUAGACAUUUUAUUUUAAAUUUCAUAUGCAAUGUAGUUCCAGAGAAAAGAAGUGAAAGCCUGAAGAAGCAAUUAGACUUGAGGAGUUAUAUCUUUAACAAAGGGUGGUGAGUGUAGAGAAGUGACUAGAUUUUUUUUAAGAUGGUUUUAGGCUUCCAAGGGUGAUAAACCAUGGGAAGGAAAAUACAUGAGGGAAACUAAUGGUAUAUAGGAGUUAUUUAGUAAGGUUUGUUUACACAGACUAAUCUCAGUGGUAAGAACGGUUUUUCUCCUUUUUCUGGUCAGGGGAAGGAGAAGGGACACCAUCACAAUGGGAAUUUGUGCUUUGCUGGUAGACAAAUAGGAGCAGAGCAGAGAACUUCUUUCUCUCAAUUGUCUUCAGCUCAGAAUAAUCCUUAUGCCAAACAGGCAUAAUUUGGAAUUACAUAUUUUCAUCCUCUCCACACACAAGCUUCCGUAUAAAGUUCAAAGACAGUAGUAUUUUCUUAUAAUUCACUCUGCCCCAAAUAUUAACUAAGAUGACAUUCUUUUUCCAGCUUGAUUCUGCAACAUUCACUUCCAGAAACUUUAUCACUCUUAAUCCUGGAUUGAAGGAAAAUAUUUGAAUGUGAUAAAGGAUAUAUAUUUUAAAAAGAAAGGAACUAUAAUAAAAGGCAAGAUUCAGAAAUUAUGUUGUAAUCUGUGACUUAGUGCAAUUUAGUCCUUGAAUUUCUUGUGUGCAAUUUAUUGAAGCUAUCUUAUUAUAUGUUAAUUCUGUGUCUUCUUUGCCCUCUCUUUUUGUAAAAAUUUUCUUUUUCUGAAUUUUUUUCCAGAGUCAAUCAUUGAUCUUCUUGAUAACAUUCAUUUCCCUUGGUGAACUAACUUUGGUUCAUCGCUUUAUCAUUCUUCUCCAGGCUGUUUUUGAAGGGUCUGUGAGCUGAGAAUGGUUUUUAAUAGAUAAAUGCUCACAAUCAAUUUGGGGAUAAGAAAUAUUAUUUUGAAUCUCAGUUACAAAAAAUGUUAUCCUUCAUAAAAUAAUUCAUUUUUUUCUCAGUAAUAAAAAUGUAUUUCAAAAAUAUGGUGUCCUUAUUAUAUUUUAAAUUUUGCCAAUAAAAAUAAUAAAAAUUGAUUUUCUCUAAUUAUGUAAGUACCUAGAUGAUUUUUAAAAUUUUGUCUCUUGACUUAUACAAAGCCUAAAAUAUUUAUAACUGCC